rnacentral:rRNA from 1 species
UCAGGACGAACGCUGGCGGCGUGCUUAACACAUGCAAGUCGAACGAUGAAGCCUUUCGGGGUGGAUUAGUGGCGAACGGGUGAGUAACACGUGGGCAAUCUGCCCUUCACUCUGGGACAAGCCCUGGAAACGGGGUCUAAUACCGGAUAAUACCUUCUCCUGCAUGGGAGGGGGUUGAAAGCUCCGGCGGUGAAGGAUGAGCCCGCGGCCUAUCAGCUUGUUGGUGGGGUGAUGGCCUACCAAGGCGACGACGGGUAGCCGGCCUGAGAGGGCGACCGGCCACACUGGGACUGAGACACGGCCCAGACUCCUACGGGAGGCAGCAGUGGGGAAUAUUGCACAAUGGGCGAAAGCCUGAUGCAGCGACGCCGCGUGAGGGAUGACGGCCUUCGGGUUGUAAACCUCUUUCAGCAGGGAAGAAGCGCAAGUGACGGUACCUGCAGAAGAAGCACCGGCUAACUACGUGCCAGCAGCCGCGGUAAUACGUAGGGUGCGAGCGUUGUCCGGAAUUAUUGGGCGUAAAGAGCUCGUAGGCGGCUUGUCACGUCGGUUGUGAAAGCCCGGGGCUUAACCCCGGGUC